CAGCUAGUUGGUGGGGUAAGAGCCUACCAAGGCGACGAUCGGUAGCUGGUCUGAGAGGACGAUCAGCCACACUGGGAUUGAGAACGGCCCAGACUCCUACGGGGGGCAGCAGUGAGGAAUUUUCCGCAAUGGAGGAAACUCUGACGGAGCAACGCCGCGUGCAGGAGGACGCUUUUCGGAGUGUAAACUGCUUUUCUGUGGGAAGAGGAAGGACGGUACCACAGGAAGAAGCCCCGGCUAACUACGUGCCAGCAGCCGCGGUAAUACGUAGGGGGCGAGCGUUGUCCGGAGUUACUGGGCGUAAAGGGCAUGCAGGCGGUCGGACGCGUUUUGUGUGACAGCGGGUGGCUUAACUACCCGAGUAUGCGAAAGACGGUUUGACUUGAGGGCUCGAGAGGGACACGGAAUUCCGGGUGGAGUGGUGAAAUGCGUAGAGAUCCGGAGGAACACCGAAGGCGAAGGCAGUGUCCUGGCGAGUGACUGACGCUGAGGUGCGAAAGCUAGGGGAGCGAACGGGAUUAGAUACCCCGGUAGUCCUAGCCGUAAACGAUGACCACCAGGUGUGGGAGGUAUCGACCCCUUCCGUGCCGGAGUAAACACACUAAGUGGUCCGCCUGGG
rnacentral:rRNA from 1 species